rnacentral:lncRNA from 1 species
AAGAUAUCCCAUAAAUCCCUCAAUUUUCUCCCACUUACCCAAUACUCAUAACUCCCUCAGAAAUUUGGAUCCACUAAAACUCUAUCAGACAACAGAGCAAAAAUUAAUACCCUCGCUAUCGCAAGGAUUUGAACAUAAGACCUCCAACACAUUCACUCCCUUACCACUCGAACCAAUAGACUCAUUCUAAUAUGGAUUAACAGAUAAUUUUAUAUAAGCCCACUC